rnacentral:lncRNA from 1 species
GAUGCACCUAGGCUCUUACCAUAAUAAAAUUUAUAUGUUUCGAUUUAAAUUACGGAUUAUCUAACUAAUAGCCCAUAUUAAUUAGUUGGAUAUUUCAUCAUCCAUUUGAUUGCAUGUAUUAAGUUUGGAUGAUAUUAAGAGUGAUAUUUUAUGUUUCCACAGUUUAUAAUGCCUCAUCUCUUUCGAAUCAAUUGUCUGCUAUUGAAACUUUGACUGGGAAUAACUGUGUGAGAUGGAAACGAGACGUAGAAAUAGCACUUAGUCUUUUGGGCUUGGAUUUUGUAAUGGAGAAAAAGUUUGAAAAACCUACAAAUAAGAGUACCGUUGAAUAUGUAGCCGAGCAUGAAAAGUGGGAAAGGGCUAACAAACUCUGUUUGAAAAUCAUUAAGCGAUCGAUAUCUGAUUCCAUCCUAGGUGCCAUCCCUGAUAAUGAAAAUAUCAAAAGUUUUAUGGAUGCCAUAGGAGAAAAAUUUGUUGAGUCUGAUAAAGCCGAAACUGGGGAUCUGAUGGAUAAAUUGAUGAGCAUGAGAUAUGAUGGCAUAAAUGGUGUUAGGGAGCAUGUCAUGAAAAUGAUAAAUAUAUCAUCUAAGUCAAAGGCUCUUGACAUUCCCAUUGCGGAGCCUUUCCUAGUCUAUCAUGUUUUGAAUAGCCUUCCUAGUAAGUUUAAUCAGUUUAAGGUUACUUACAAUGCUCAGUGGGAUAAAUGGAAUUUGAAUGACCUCAUAGCAGUGUGUGCCCAAGAAGAGUAUAGGAUGCACCGUGAAAAUGUUGAAACUGUACAAUUAGCUUUUCAACCAUCAUAGAAUAAGGGGCCUUCUCAUAAUCAUAAACCUAAGUUUCGUAAGGGUAAUAAGUCCCAUCGAAGUCAGCAGAAUAAAAAUUUUAGUGGUCCCAAAGUAGUUAUAAAGAAAAAUGAUCAAUGCAAGUUCUGUAAAAAGAAAUGUCACUGGUAGAAGGACUGUUUUAAGUUCAAGACUUGGUUGGAAAAGAAGAAGAGUUCUUCAGGUAUUCCCUUGGCCUUAGUUUGUUUUGAGUCUUCUUUAGUAGAUGUGCCUUUGAAUUCUUGGUGGUUAGACUCGGGAGCUAGUUUUCAUAUUGCGAAUUCCUUGCAGGGGUUCAUAAGCAAACGGAGGCCAAGGGAGAAUGAAGUAAGCUUGAGCGUUGCAAAUGGAUUCCAACUGAAGGUUGAAUUCAUAGGAGUAGUGAAGUUAACUUUAGAGUUUGGUUUUUAUAAAAAGAAAGGUCACUGGUAGAAAGACUAUUUUAAGUUCAAGACUUGGUUGGAAAAGAAGAAGAGUUCUUCAGGUAUUCCCUUGGCCUUAGUUUGUUUUGAGUCUUCUUUAGUAGAUGUGCCUUUGAAUUCUUGGUGGUUAGACUCGGGAGCUAGUAUUCAUAUUACGAAUUCCUUACAGGGGUUCAUAAGCAAACGGAGGCCAAGUGAGAAUGAAGUAAGCUUGAGCGUUGCAAAUGGAUUCCAAGUGAAGGUUGAAUUCAUAGGAGUAGUGAAAUUAACUUUAGAGUCUGGUUUUUAUCUUGUUUUGAAAAAUACAGUUUAUGUACCGCAGAUGAGACGGAAUUUAAUUCCUAUACCAAAACUUGAUGCUUGUGGUUUUACAUUUAAUUUUGGUAAUGGAAUGGUUAAGUUAUUUAAUGAUUCCCGUUUGAUUGGAAAUGACAUUUUAUGUGAUGGUUUAUAUAAAUUAUCUUUGGCUUCUUUUGGUGAUAUCUCGUGUGUUACAAAUGUAUCAAAGAAAAGGGCUUUAAUUCGUGAAUCAUCCUCUAUGUUGUGGCAUAAGCGAUUGGGUCGUAUUUCUAAAGAUAUAAUGGAAAGAUUAGUAAAAGAUGAGAUACUUCCUUCCUUAGACUUCUCCGAUUUUGACACCUGUAUAGAUUGUAUAAGAGGAAAGUUAACUAAGUCUACGAGGAAGGGUUCGACUAGGAGUAAUGGAAUUUUGGACUUAAUUCACAUUGAUAUCAGUGGAUCUUUGCUUUCCAUUAUAUGUGGGAAUAAAUAUUUCAUAACUUUCAUUGAUAAUUUCUUACGAUAUGGAUAUGUUUAUUUGAUUAACGACAAAUCACAUGCACUCGAGAAAUUCAAAGUUUUCAAACUGGAAGUAGAGAAACAAUGUGGGAAAAGUAUCGAAGUUGUAAGAUCUGACCGAGGUGGUGAGUACUAUGGAAAAUAUGACGAGUCUGGUCAAAAUAUGGGUGAUUUUGCAAAAUUUUUACAAGAGUGUGGAAUAGUGUCCCAAUACACCAUGCCAGGAACACCUUAGCGGAAUGGUGUUUCUGAAAAACGUAAUCGAACUGUAAAAGAUAUGGUUAGAAGUAUGAUAAGUAGAACAAAUUUGCCUGAAUAUUUGUGGGGUGAAGCCUUGAAAACAGCUAUGUAUAUUUUGAACAGAAUUCCAAGUAAAGCUGUUGCAAAGACACCUUUUGAAUUAUGGACAGGACGUAAGCCAAGUAUGGCUCACUUUAAAGUUUGGGGAUGUCCAGCUGAGGUUAGGAUUUAUAAUCCAUUUGAAAAGAAAUUAGACUCUAAAUCAGCUUCUGGCUACUUUAUUGGGUAUCCGGAUAGAUCAAAGGGAUAUAAGUUUUACUAUUCAAAUCGCAGCACUAGAAUUGUGGAGUCCAUUACUGCUAAAUUUCUGGAGAACGAUUUUGGAGAUAGUGGGAGUUUCACGUUGAGAGAAAUUCUUGUUGAACCUAAUCAAGUUGUAGUUCUAGUUCCUGUCAUACAGGAAAGAGUUGGUUCUCAACCAAUUGAAGUUGUUAAUGAAGAACAGAGGAACCAGGAAGAAUCUCCAAUUCCUCAAACAACGAUUGAAUCGGUUCCCGAGUCACAAUUUAGGAGAUCACAAAGGGAAAGAAGAUCUGCAUUGCCCAGUGAUUAUGUUACAUAUUCAUUGGAGAGCGAUUUUAAUAUUGGGCAUAUUGUUGAUCCUGUAACUUAUAAUCAAGCAUUGACAAGUCCUGAGGCAGAUAAAUGGAUAGCUGCCAUGGAAGAUGAAACGAAUUCCAUGGAAAGGAAUAAAGUUUGGGAUCUUGUUGAACUUCCUCCAGACGCUAAGGUUGUAGAUAACAAGUGGAUCUUCAAAAGUAAAUUAGAUUCAAAAGGAAAUGUUGAACGAAAGAAAGCAAGAUUGGUUGCAAAAGGUUUUACUCAACGAGAGGACAUUAAUUAUGUUGAAACCUUCUCCCCUGUUUCGUCGAAAGAUUCUUUUCGAAUUAUUAUGGCUCUUGUGGCACACUACAAUUUGGAGUUUCAUCAAAUGGAUGUUAACACAGCAUUUUUGAAUGGAGAUCUUUCUGAAAUGGUUUAUAUGAAACAACCUGAAGGUUUUGUUGUAAAAGGAAAAGAAAACUUGGUGUGUAAGUUAAACAAAUCCUUAUAUGGUCUCAAGCAAGUAUCUUGACAGUGGUAUUUGAAGUUUGAUGAGAUUGUGACAUCUCUUGGUUUUGUCGAAAAUAUUAUUGAUCAAUGCAUUUAUCUUAAAAUCAGUGGGAGAAAUUUUAUUUUCCUUGUACUGUAUGUUGAUGACAUUCUGCUUACUAGCAAUAACUUAGAACUGCUUCAUGAGACAAAGAAAAUGUUGUCUUCUAAUUUUGAGAUGAAAGAUCUUGGAGAAACUUCCUAUGUACUUGGCAUUGAAAUACAUCGUGAUAGAAAUCGUGGCUUAUUGGGACUUUCUCAGAAAGUUUAUAUACGACGUGUUCUAGAAAGGUUUAAUAUGCAGAAUUGUGCACCUGGUGAUGUACCUAUCAUCAAAGGAGAUAAGUUUAACAAAACUCAAUGUCUAAGGAAUGAGCUGGAAAGGGAGUCUAUGAAGAUGAUCCCAUAUGCUAGUGCUGUGGGGAGCUUGAUGUAUGUUCAAGUUUGCACUAGAUCGGAUAUAGCAUACACAGUAAGUGUCCUUAGCAGAUUUCAGUCUAAUCCAGGACAAGAGCAUUGGAAAGCAGCUAAGAAAGUUAUGAGAUAUUUGAAGAAAACUGAAGGUUAUAUGCUUACAUUCCAACAUACAAAUCAUCUUGAGGUAGUAGGAUAUUCAGAUUCAGAUUUUGUUGGAUGUCAAGAUGAUUUGAAAUCAACCUCAGGUUACAUUUUUACAUUAGCUGGUGGUGCCAUUUCUUGGAAAAGUGCUAAACAGACUCUAGUGGCAUUUUCUACUAUGCAAGCUGAAUUUGUGGCAUGUUAUGGGGCUACAGUCCAAGCCGUUUAGUUAAAAAAUUUCAUCUCUGGCUUGAAAGUUGUUAAUUUCAUCUCAAGACCGAUCACCAUCUACUGUGAUAACAGUGCAGCAGUAUUCUUUUCAAAGAAUAAUAAAAAUUUUGGUGGAUCAAAACAUAUUGACAUCAAAUAUUUGGUUGUUAGAGACGGAGUCAAAGAAGGGCAGAUGAAAAUAGAGCAUAUCAAUACAGAGGCGAUGGUUGCAGAUCCCUUGAAUAAGGGACUCGCUCCAAAAGUCUUUAAGACACAUGUUACUAAUAUGGGUAUUGUGGAAACAUUUGAUAUUUUUGGUUAGUGAGAUUUAUUUAUGUAAAGAACUACGUUUUGGGCUUGAUCCCUUGCGGGGUACGUAGGCAACCCAUAUUUUUUGGGUACAGCCCCUUCUGAUAAUAAAAUAAUUUUUUUCCUAUCCAUGAACUAUUUUAAGCAUGCAUUUGACUUAUAUCUUUUUAUAUUAUUGGUAUCUUGAAAUAUGACGUAUAAAGACAUAAGAUGAGUCUCUUUUUAGAGACAUGUGCCUUCAUUUUUAUUCGAAGCAUUAUGAGGACCGAUAUGAGUUAGCACAGUUUUUUAUCACAUUUGGUGCUAAGUUCAUACCACAUACUACCACAUUGGUUGGAGGAUGGGGAUCCAUGUUGAUAAGGAUGUUGACAUCUGUAGCUGUGGAAUGGUCUUACAUCUCUUAAAUUGGUGUAAUGACUUCCAUGUUAGGUUUUAAUAUUCUUGUUGGACCGGAUCAUGUUACGUAAGGUGUCAUCAUUGAAGCUAUACUUUUGUGGCCACCUAUGUAGUCUAACCCGGGUGUUAAAACUUUGUUAUGGCAAUCAAAUGUUUGCCCAAGUGGUAGAAUGUUGGAAUAAUUAAUUAUUUCAUAUGUGGGUUUUACAUUGGAUUGCAAAUUUUACGGGUUAGAUGUAUGACUCAUAAUGAUAUUUGUGUUUGGACCAAAUUUAUUAAGUGAUCAAUUGGGCAUUUUACACCUUACGGGUUGUAAUUAAUUUUAUGUGGUAGUUUAAAGUAUGUGGAUCGGAAAUAAACACUAAUUAGAAUUCUAGUCGUAAUGGGACUACUCAAAUUAUUUCCUAUAUGUAAAGGUUAGGUCCCCUCUCCUCUCCAUAUGUUUAUUGGUUUGCCUCAUUGAUAGCUGAUUUUUGUGAGAAGUAAGGAGGGGAAGAUUUUGGUUGCUAUUACAACUACUAUUCAUAUCAACAAUGGCUUCCGUAAGUAUGAAUUCAUUUCUAUUAAUUUAUUGAAUUGUGAUUAUCGAUUCUUAACAUGAUUAAAACUAAGGAUUAACAAUUUUAGCCGAGCAAUUUUUUAAAUUUCAUUGUUAGGUUAAUUAGCUGCAUAGUGGUUGUUUGAUUGCUACAAAUGAUCUUGGUAUGUUGCAUGAGACCAAGAAAUUUCUCUCUAAGAACUUUGAAAUGAAAGACAUGAGAGCGGCAAACUAUGGGAUAGGAAUAGAAAUAUUCCGAGACAGAUCACAAGGAAUGUUAGGGUUGUCUCAAAAAUCAUACAAUAAUAAAGUUUUAGAGAGAUUCAAGAUGGAGAACUGCUUUGCAAGAGUUGUUUCAAUUUAGAAAGGAAACAAAUUCAAUCUUAUGCAAAAUCCAAAGAAUGAAUUGGAAGACACACUUAAGGUUUCAGAAAUAGAAUUUGUAACCUAAAGCUUUUCUCUUACUAAACUUACGAAGAAAUUGAGGAAAUUUUCAUUAUUACUUCGGCACGGCUUGAGGUUUGUUUUGUUAAAAACUCGUAAAAUAGAAUACUUACUUCCAGUUUGACAAGGUUUUUGAAAAGUCAAAAGUUACUUUUGGAUAUUUUUUGUAACGAUCCAAUCUUUGUGUCCAAGCAAUUAACUUAUGUACUGCCCACUCUUGGAAAGCCUAAGAUCAUCUUACCGCUUAUGGAUUUCUAUUGCGUCCUUAGGAUUCGAACUCUUAACCUACUUAAGUGUCUCACUAGACAAAGGUCUUGGAUUUCAAUCCUGAAGGACACGAUAGAAAGCUAUGAGGGGAUAAGUGGGCAGAUGACCACUUAAAGCGGACAGUACGCAUGAUAUAACGGUUCUGGCAUAGAGGUCGCAUCGUUGCAAAAAAAAAGGCACAUUUUUUAACAAGCAGCUUCUAUGUUGAAGUUGUUAAACUUUUGUACAGUCUGCUCUAGGAGAGGAAACCCAUAUUUCUCUCACAGAUUUCUAUCACGUCCUCAGGAUUGAAACCCACGACUUUCCAUUAAGAGAGAUUUAAAUUGAAUAUUGGUACCAAUUGAAGAAGUAAGUUUAACGGCUUGAGCAUAGAGGCUAUGUUACACUUUUCUGGAAGCAUUUAUUUGGCUACAAUAUCUUUUUAAAAUAAGUUGACCAAAGAUAGCUUGUUGAGGAAGCUUUUCUAUAAGAAGCAGGGAAAAAGCCUUGUCAAACAGUCUCUUAAUAUGUUAAAAUGGCAUCUACAUGGCAUCGAGUAAAUAACUUAAAAAUUAAGGUUAAACCUCUAGUCUUCAGCAGGAGCAAGAACGGCUUCGUGUGGAUGAUAUUCAAAGGCCACAUUUGAGAGGGGUGAAACUUGGAGGUUGAUCAGACGCUCGUGAUUGAUCGUGAAGUAGUUGCCACCAUGAGUGAGUGUUCUCUCUUUUUGUGUAGAAAAUGGAAAUAUGUGUGGAGCAUUUUGGGUGUUAAAUUUGGGAUGGAAUUUUUAUUUUAUUUUAUUUUUAUUUAUUUAUUUAUUAUUAUUAUUUUUACAAUCUAGCAUUAUAAAAUUAUUAGGUAAAUAUUAUUUUUGAAUUUUAAAUUAAUAUAUUUUUAAAUAUUUUAUAAAAUCAAGAUUAGGACAUGGAUAACAAUAUUUGUUAAAUCAGUAAAAACUUUUUCAAUGAUUUUAUUGAUUUGACUAUGAAAUAAGUAAAUAAUUUAUUUUUAGGCUGAUGUUAAUAACUAACGUCUUUUACAAGUAAGAAAAAUAUAAACAUAGAUAUAAUAAAAAAUUACUUUAAAUAGAUCUAAUUUAACGAUAAGUUUGGGAGGUCAUCACAUUUGUUGUGCAUUGAAUCAAAUAUGCACUUCACAAUUCAAGCUAUCUUUAUUUACAUAUUUUACUGAUGCCAAUUUGAUUAUGGACAAUGUGAAUGUUAAUCUAUACGAUUGUUUCAGAUUCUGGAAAGACACUGAACCAGCCCUGGGAAUCAGUUACAAUUGUUGAUGACAAUACAAGAAAGAAACUUAAUGAAAUAGAACCUCACGGAAGUGAUCUUGCCAGCCAUGAUGGAGUAUGAUUCGAUCCCUCGUAGCAUAUGAAAAUUGAAAGUACCACAUUACUUCACUUCUUUUACAAAUACAUAUGUGUUCUGUUCCAUUUCAUUCUAUAUAAUUCUAGCCAACUGCUCAAAUUUAAGUGCUAUGCAUAUUCUUCUGGAUGAUGAUUGAUGUGUUCCUGAACAACAUUAAUAUGUGAUGUACAUAUUUGAUUGAUGGUCAAAGUUUUUGUUCAUUUUUUUCUCUCUUGGUAGAGGGCUUCUGAUGAAUGGAAUUUGUUGGUUGUUGCUCUUAUGCUUGACCCCCUGCUUAACACUAUUCCUAUUAGUUGUCUAUGAAAGGUCUGGUAACAAAAUUGAGGAAAUUGCACCAAAAUAAUGAUGAUGAUGAUCAAAACAUGUCAAUCUAUAAAUCCACCAGGUACACUAUCUUUCCAAGCUUAUCUUAACAGUUUUAACCAUUAAUGGUACGCAAUAACAGUUAUGGCUUUGCUUCAUAAAUUCUACUAUCGAAGUUUUCAUACUGUCAUAAAUUUCAAAAUGCAGAUUUUUUGAGCUUUCUUGAGAAAACUUGUUAGUUUCAAGACAUGCCAAGUGAUGUCGUACCUUAUUAUCUAUUUUUAAGCUUUUGUGGUUCAUUAUCGCAGAGUUCUGGAAAAGAUAAGAGUUAAAAGAUCAGUUGAGGAUGAUUUAGUGAAACAGCUAAUAGAGUUAUCUAUGAAGACGCAUUAUACACAUUGGAUGCCAAAAGACAAGAAACUAAAAGAUUGCAGAUGGGAUUAUGUAUGUUACUUUAUUACCCAUAUAUGGUCUGUAGAAAUCAAAUCUUAAUCCCUCUUACCUUAUGUAUCAAAUAACCAAUCUGCAGGAGGAUUACCUCUGCCCGAAUCACAAUGCUGAUAAAUUACUGAGGCAGCAAUCCUAAUCUAGAAUGUUUGGGAGUGAAGUGAAGGAUUCCAUGCCGGCUCAAAUGUAUGGAGAUCUUUUUAUUGUUAUCCUUUUAUGAGUUGACCUCUUAUCCAGCAGUUAGUAAUCUAAUUAUUCUCCUGAACAUAUGGUUUAUUUUGGUAAAAUCUUACUAGACUCAUUUCCAAACUUUUGUUCACUUGUUUUACUCAAGGUGUAGGACAAGAAAAGAGAUAUGUUGCCUUCAUGCCCUGAUGUGUCCAUGCUU